GAUUGUCCUUAAGAACAUAGGACCAGGGAAAGAAGACAAAUAUAGCCCUCUUCUAUUCAUCAUCAUUUUAUACAGCUGAAAGCAAACUAACACGAGUAUAGGGACAAACAGCAGAAGUCAUUAAAAUACAAUUGAGGAGUACAUAGGAGAAAGAUGUUUCUUCUGCUUUGUCCAAGGCCCCAGAUUAAAUCAAAGUGUCUGCCACAGGAAUCUCGGAACAUUCAGGAUAUCAGUCCCGAUCACAGCUCAUCAUCUUCUGAUAUGGAAUCUAGAUAAUCUGUGUCAACAUAUAAGAGAAAUCCGGAGAACAAGCUGUCUGCCCAACCUGGGUCUGAGAAGAGGCCAUUCUGGUCAGUGAAGAAGAUCUCCAGCCAGACUUCGUCUUCUGGCUGUAGAUAGAUGACCGUGGACCCCGAAGCCACGUCAUGGUUCCCCGUGUUGGCAUCAAAGGUCUUUAUCCGGUACUGUCCAUUGUGUACCAGCCCGAUUGCCAGAUGCUUAUUCGCCAAUGUGAUAUCAUAAGAAAAGUAAUAGAUCCCUGGGAAGGCACAGAUGAACUUCCCAGUCGCAGGGUUGUAGUGCUCUCCCUCAUUAAAGAGGACCUUGUUAAAUAUAAUUGGUAGCCUUUCUUCUGGGUAGCUGGUUGUGAUGCCAACAGAAAAGGCAGAUUUGAGCAUGAUGCUUCCACAUCUACAAAUUCCAGGCGGCCCUGGGUCUCCUUGCUCUCCUCUGUCCCCCUUUGCUCCAGGAGGUCCAACUGGACCUACUUCCCCUUUUUCUCCCUCUGGUCCCACAGGUCCUUUCUUUCCAGUCUCUCCUUGGUCACCUUUCUCUCCAGCAAGGCCCAGCGGUCCAGUCUUACCUCUCAAACCUUUAAAAAGAGUAUGGUUUAAAUUAAUGAUUCCUCCAAAUAUACAGUCACAAACAGCAUGUCCCACAUAGUGUCAGUACACCCUAAAUGUGUCUCUCCAAACAAUUUUCAACAGUACACUACUAAAUACUAAUGCAUCUUUAGAAAAAAUCACUGAUGCAUUAAAACGGAAAUAGAAAAUUUUCAUCAGAAUUUCAGGUUAGUUUUCCUGAGUAUGUGAGAAAUCAUUUAAAUGCUAUUUUGAUGAUGGAUCAUCUGCAAUGAAAUCAGUCACAUACAAUAUUUGUCACUCCAGGAGAAAUUCGAUGAGCAUAAUGAUACUAUUCCCCAGAGCGGAGUUAAGGGGGCAGAUAGAACCAGAUCAAUCCUUAGAGGCUAUAUUGUCUCAUGCCCCAUCCUAUUUCUAUCAGUAUUUAUAGUACAAGAAUUGAUGAAAACUUGAUUAGCUCAUAUUUAUUCAACAUUUACUGUGUACCAGGUACAGCACUUUAUUCACAGGCAUUGUCUUCUUUAGGUUUUGCAAGAACUUUAUGGAUUAGGAAAUUUUUAUUGCUUCCAUUGCAGAUGGGGAGACUGAGCCACAGAUAAGUUAGUUUGCUCAAGGUAACAGAGCUAGUAAGUGAUGGAGCUGUGACCUGAACACAUGCCUACCUGACUCUGGAGCCUGAGCAUCCCCCUGGGGGGGAAGCUAGAGUGUACAUUGUAAAGUACACCUGGCACAUAGUGAGGGCUCAGUAUGCCAUGAUAACCAAACAACAGUGAUGGCUACCACUAUGCAGUAGCUCUUUUUGGAAGGAGAAAACUGAGUCCCAGAAUGGUGAAGAAACUCGCUUCUGUAGCAAGGCUAGGACUGGAAUCCAAGUCCUAGUGUAAUGAUGCUUCCCCUUCAUCAAAGUGCCUCUUACCUUUGGGGCUGGAAUCAAGAAUCCUAAAUUCUGUUUGGCUCUGCAGCUAAAUGGUUGUAUCAUUUUAGGCAAGUCCCUUAAUUUCUCUGGGUCUCCUUAUAUAUAGAAAAGACAUAAUAUCUGUGAAAGGAUUUCAACAAAUUCAAAAUCACCACAGUGAAAUAUUUUCUGUUUGUCCAAAUCUUUAUAACUACAGAUCAACCAUAGGCUAAAAGCAGAGAAAUUAUGAUCAUUGGUUGAAAGGGAUAAGCAACAUUUAAUUUUAUAUAUAUAUAUAUAUAUAUAUAUAUAUAUAUAUAGUUGUGUGUGUACAUAUAUACAUAUAUAUACACACACAUACAAUGACUAAUAACAUAAAAAUGUCAUUUAAUUUUUAUGGCUAAAUUCAUUCCAUAAAUAAUACUUGUAUAAUGAUAUACCCUCAAAAAGUAUCCAAAUUAUUGGUAAUUUAUGAUGUACUAUUUUUUUAAAAGAUUUUAUUUAUUUAUUCAUGAGAGACACAGAGAGAGAAAGAGGCAGAGACACAGGCAGAGGGAUAAGCAGGCUCCAUGCAGGGAGCCAGAUGUGGGACUCCAUCCCUGGUCUCCAGGAUCACACUCCUGGCCGAAGGCGAUGCUAAACCGCUGGGCCACCGGGGCUGCCCUAUGAUUUACUUUUGUAGUCAAUGGAAAUAUAUUAUUGGUCUACUCUGUAGUUUCACUCUUAACUAUGUAUUUGUUCUCAGGAACUUUUAUUAAGCUAAGCUUUUUUAUCUUGAUAGUGCUCUGGUAACAUUUAUUUGAAUGUUACACAUGUAUCAGUGUAUGAGCUUAAUUAUUUUUCAGUUAUUUGACAAAUUUAGCAAAUGUUCUAGAUUAUGUUAAUUUGAGGAGAAUCAAUGCCUUAGCCUUAAAACAUCCAGUAUUUUGUUUUGAUAAUUUUGGAAAUAAGCUGUUUAACAAUUUAUGAUGCACAGAAGAGUCUAUUAACGAAACCCUUUUUUGGUGACUGGGAUCAGUGAUUGGGAUCUCAUAACUGAUGUGAGGACAUCUCUUCAAGCUCUAGAUGGCUUUUGUUGUGAAGUUGAAAUUCCACUGGUCCCAGCCAGAAUAUACUCUGGUAUUUAUGUCUUGAAAUGAGGCCAUAAGAGUCUGAUCUUUCAAUAUUGCUUCUUUUCAGUAGAAAUAAAAUAUGAAUAUUAUUUUACUGUUGAAUUUAUUUGUGAAUCGAGGACCACAACUUAAAAAUUGUUAUUUCUAUUUUCAACAGGAGCUUAACUUUUGUUGUCUCCAUGAGUGACCUUAGAUGUAUUAAUUAAAAAACUUUUGUCAUCAGAAACAAUUUUGACUAUUAAAUUUCAUUAGGUUCUCCAAUCCUCCUUCUUCUAUGACCUUGGGCAAGUCACUUCUUGUCUGUGUUCAAAUGUUCCAUUUGUAAUAUGAAGAAUUGGAUUUAGGUCCACUCCAAACCUAGCAGGAAAAGCAGUAAACAGUGGUUCAGCAGACUGGGGAUAAAUCCUUAGUUCAUCCAUGGGUUAGUCAGGUGAAUUUGAAUAAGUUCUCUCUGACUAUAUUUUCUCAGUCCUUGAAAUGAAAGUGUUGGACUAGGUUGCUUAAGGUCUCAUCCUACUGAAAAUUCUUUGGGACAAAACCAUAAAUAUUAAGGUGGAAUUUUACAGUGCUAGCCAUGUAAAGGUCUUUACAAUCUCAGUAUUUGGAUUUUCUAUGGUUAUUGAAUUAGAUAAUCAGGAUUAGCUGUAAUAACUUGAAGUAAUUCUUCCUGUUUGCAUGAAGGAUUUGUACCUGUGUUAAGGGCCAAUUAAUGAAUAAUGGAAAGAAGCGAUACAUCACUCUCCUUCUUCCUAUUCAGUUAGACAUAUGCUUGGGUAGAGAGAAUUAUGGAGUAGUGAUUAGUCUAUGCUAGGUAGUGAUGCUUGGAGAGAAAGGAUUUCUUUUUAGUCCUCCUUGAAAUGAGCUUACAAAGAUUUCUUCCUCAGUGCUAUUUCUUUCUUCCAUCCAUCCAUCCAUCCAUCCAUCCAUCCAUCUAUCCAUCCAUGCAUUAUCCACGUAUUUAUGUGUGUAUACAUACAUAUAUCUAAAUCAUGUAAUAUUGAUUGACCAUUCACUACCUGCUAGGCACUAUACUAGGGGCCGAGUGGGACAUUGACAUGAAUGACACCUGUUCCCCUCUCAAGUUAGCUGUUACUACCAACUAUACCAUGAUCUGAAAAUAUGGGUCAUAGCUAAGUUCAUGAAUAUCGAAAACCAUAUGAUCGAUCUGUUUCAUGGGGUGGUUCUAGUAUUAUUUGAAGAUAUUUAUAGGGAUGCAUUCAGAUUAAAUUAAAUGGUGAUAUGAUGUUACAAGAGUAAUUGCAAUAGACCAGUAAGGAAGACACAUAUUUUUAACAGAAAAUUCCUAAUUUGGUAUAAGAAGUUCUGUACUUGUAAUUUAAGGUAGAGAAGUUGGACAAAAAAUGCUUGAUUCUGCUUGCACUUGGUUGGAUGUAUAUAAUGGGGAUGUUUAGCAACAGUAGGUGAAUGAGAAGACAUUUGUGGUGUCAUUAAAGGGGACAGAAGAACCAAGCAUUCCUAGCUGUGUUGUGUCCAGUUCCAGCUGCAUUAAAAGUUUAUUCCCAAAGCCCCAGGUCUCUAUUACUGUUGUUCAUAAAUGGGAUAUGUUUUUCAUUGAUCACAAAGGUGUUCCUACCUUUCUUAUCUGUUUUAGCACUUUAUAUGUGUAUUUGUGUAUAUUGGAUUUAAGUAAUCUCAGGUUGGGAAAGUGAUUUUAUUUUUGAAUCUCAAUGUUUUCACUGUAACAUUAUUAUAUUUAUUGCUUAUUGUAUUGAUUUCUAACAGGGUUAUGUGGACAUUAAGUACUAAAUGUAAAAUUUCUGAAACAAUAAGUUCUUAAUAAAUGGCUAUGAUGAUGAUGAUGAA